GGUGACUCCCUGGAACUGCCUUAGGAGAAAGUUUCUGGAAGUUUUGACAUUCCAGAAACCUUCUCCUAAGGCAGUCCCUGGGAGUCACU
ensembl:miRNA